GACGAACGCUGGCGGUGUGCCUAACACAUGCAAGUCGAACGGAGAUAUGAUUUCGGUUGUAUCUUAGUGGCGAACGGGUGAGUAACGCGUGAGCAACCUGACUCUUAGAGGGGGAUAACACUCGGAAACGGGUGCUAAUACCGCAUAAGACCACGACAUGGCAUCAUGACGAGGUCAAAGGAGCAAUCCGCUGAGAGAGGGGCUCGCGUCCCAUUAGAUAGAUGGCGGGGUAACGGCCCACCAUGUCAACGAUGGGUAGCCGAGCUGAGAGGCUGAUCGGCCACACUGGAACUGAGACACGGUCCAGACUCCUACGGGAGGCAGCAGUGGGGAAUAUUGGGCAAUGGGCGCAAGCCUGACCCAGCAACGCCGCGUGAGGGAAGAAGGCUUUCGGGUUGUAAACCUCUGUCCUUGGUGACGAAACAAAUGACGGUAGCCAAGGAGGAAGCCCCGGCUAACUACGUGCCAGCAGCCGCAGUAA
rnacentral:rRNA from 1 species